rnacentral:rRNA from 2 species
AAUGCAGUCGAACGCGUCUCCGUUGAUGAUUUUAGGUGCUUGCACUUGAAAGAUUUAACAUUGAGACGAGUGGCGAACUGGUGAGUAACACGUGGGUAACCUGCCCUUGAAGUAGGGGAUAACACUUGGAAACAGGUGCUAAUACCGUAUAACAACCAAAACCACCUGGUUUUGGUUUAAAAGACGGCUUCGGCUGUCACUUUAGGAUGGACCCGCGGCGUAUUAGCUUGUUGGUAAGGUAACGGCCUACCAAGGCGAUGAUACGUAGCCGACCUGAGAGGGUAAUCGGCCACAUUGGGACUGAGACACGGCCCAAACUCCUACGGGAGGCAGCAGUAGGGAAUCUUCCACAAUGGACGAAAGUCUGAUGGAGCAACGCCGCGUGAGUGAUGAAGGGUUUCGGCUCGUAAAACUCUGUUGUUGGAGAAGAACAGGUGUCAGAGUAACUGUUGACAUCUUGACGGUAUCCAACCAGAAAGCCACGGCUAACUACGUGCCAGCAGCCGCGGUAAUACGUAGGUGGCAAGCGUUGUCCGGAUUUAUUGGGCGUAAAGCGAGCGCAGGCGGUUUUUUAGGUCUGAUGUGAAAGCCUUCGGCUUAACCGGAGAAGUGCAUCGGAAACCGGGAGACUUGAGUGCAGAAGAGGACAGUGGAACUCCAUGUGUAGCGGUGAAAUGCGUAGAUAUAUGGAAGAACACCAGUGGCGAAGGCGGCUGUCUGGUCUGUAACUGACGCUGAGGCUCGAAAGCAUGGGUAGCGAACAGGAUUAGAUACCCUGGUAGUCCAUGCCGUAAACGAUGAGUGCUAAGUGUUGGAGGGUUUCCGCCCUUCAGUGCUGCAGCUAACGCAUUAAGCACUCCGCCUGGGGAGUACAACCGCAGGGGUGAAACUCAAAGGAAUUGACGGGGGCCCGCACAACCGGGGGAACAUGUGGUUUAAUUCCAUGCUCCGC